UGGGUGAUCUGCCCCUGACUCUGGGAUAAGCCUGGGAAACUGGGUCUAAUACCGGAUAUUCAUUUUUCCUCGCAUGGGGAUUGGUGGAAAGCUUUUGCGGUUGGGGAUGGGCCCGCGGCCUAUCAGCUUGUUGGUGGGGUAAUGGCCUACCAAGGCGACGACGGGUAGCCGACCUGAGAGGGUGAUCGGCCACACUGGGACUGAGACACGGCCCAGACUCCUACGGGAGGCAGCAGUGGGGAAUAUUGCACAAUGGGCGCAAGCCUGAUGCAGCGACGCCGCGUGAGGGAUGACGGCCUUCGGGUUGUAAACCUCUUUCAGCUCCGACGAAGCGCAAGUGACGGUAGGAGCAGAAGAAGCACCGGCCAACUACGUGCCAGCAGCCGCGGUAAUACGUAGGGUGCAAGCGUUGUCCGGAAUUACUGGGCGUAAAGAGCUCGUAGGCGGUUUGUCGCGUCGUCUGUGAAAUUCUGCAGCUUAACUGUAGGCGUGCAGGCGAUACGGGCAGACUUGAGUACUACAGGGGAGACUGGAAUUCCUGGUGUAGCGGUGAAAUGCGCAGAUAUCAGGAGGAACACCGGUGGCGAA
rnacentral:rRNA from 1 species